rnacentral:rRNA from 1 species
CACGUAGGGUGCGAGCGUUGUCCGGAUUUAUUGGGCGUAAAGAGCGUGUAGGCGGCCAGACAGGUCCGUUGUGAAAACUGGAGGCUUAACCUCCAGACGUCGAUGGAAACCGUCUGGCUAGAGUCCGGAAGAGGAGAGUGGAAUUCCUGGUGUAGCGGUGAAAUGCGCAGAUAUCAGGAAGAACACCCGUGGCUAAGGCGGCUCUCUAGUACGGUACUGACGCUGAGACGCGAAAGCGUGGGGAGCGAACAGG